CCUGUUAAUGAUAGCGGCCGGACUGGGCUGAGUAACGCGUGGGUGACCUACCUUUUGGCUGGGGAUAAGCUGUUAGAAAGUAGCACGGUAAUACCGAAUAUGGUUGAGAGAGCUAUGGCUUCUCAAAGAAAAGGCGCUAAGGCGCCGACCUGAAAGAUGGGCCCGCGAUCCCAUUCAGGCUACUAUGGUGGUGUAAAGGACUACCAAGGCGAAGAUGCGGUAGCCGGCCUGAGGAGGGUGAACGGCCACACUGGGACUGAUCAUACGGGCCAAACUCCUACGGGAGGCAGAACGCUACGAAUAUUCCGCAAUGGACGAAAGUCUAGACGGAGCGACGCCGCGUGUCUGACGCUGAAGGCCGAACAGGUUGUCAAGUACUCUUUGCGAAUGAAGAA
rnacentral:rRNA from 1 species